rnacentral:rRNA from 1 species
AUGGAACGCUGGCGGCAUGCUUUACACAUGCAAGUCGAACGGCAGCGCGGGCUUCGGCCUGGCGGCGAGUGGCGAACGGGUGAGUAAUGCAUCGGAACGUGCCCAGUAGUGGGGGAUAGCCCGGCGAAAGCCGGAUUAAUACCUCAUACGACCUGAGGGUGAAAGCGGGGGACCGAAAGGCCUCGCGCUAUUGGAGCGGCCGAUGUCGGAUUAGCUAGUUGGUGGGGUAAAGGCUUACCAAGGCGACGAUCCGUAGCUGGUCUGAGAGGACGACCAGCCACACUGGGACUGGGACACGGCCCAGACUCCUACGGGAGGCAGCAGUGGGGAAUUUUGGACAAUGGGGGCAACCCUGAUCCAGCCAUGCCGCGUGCGGGAAGAAGGCCUUCGGGUUGUAAACCGCUUUUGUUCGGGAAGAAAUCCUCUGGGCUAAUACCCCGGGGGGAUGACGGUACCGGAAGAAUAAGCACCGGCUAACUACGUG